AAAUAGAAAUUCUUAAAGAAAUGAUUAAAAAUAUAAAUAUUAAAUAAAUCCUAAAUAAAUUUUAGAUAAAUCCUAACCAAAUUUUAAUAUAAUUCUAAUGAAAUCUUAAUUAAAAUUUAACCAAAUCCUAAUCAAAUCCUAAAUCCUAAUAAAAUUCUAAAUUCUUAUAAAAACCUAAUCAAAUUCUAAAUCCUUAUCAAAACCUAAUCAAAUCUUAAAUCCUAAUUAAACCUUAA
rnacentral:lncRNA from 1 species